rnacentral:lncRNA from 1 species
CAAGAUAUUGCACAAUGCUUUAAUAUUACACUUGUUAUUUUUCUCACACUAGUGAGAUUUUGAUAAACAUAGUUGACUUUGGAAGUAACAGAGAAUGUUUUCAUUGGUUAAAUAAUUUCAAUGACCUGUGAGGAACUGAAAGCAAGCUAUUACAUUCAUAUAAAAGAUAAGUACAUAUCCAUAAAUUCACUUGGAUUCAAUGAAAAAUAAUAAACUUCUCGUGUACUUAAUAAAACUUAAAAGGAAACAAAAUUUUAAAUGGUGCAAAAAUAGAAUGUAUUUCUUAAAGUUUUGAAAACACUUAGACCUAAAAGAAUUCUAAGAAUAUCUGGCCACAUUAUAAGCCUCUUAUUUGUAAAAGCUAACACUUGAUAAUUUUAAAACAAAAUCUAGAUUAAAUAAAUAUAGUUCUGCAUUAUUAAAGUAACAAAAUCUGUGAUGGUAAGGUAAAAUUUCCCUAAAUAAUAUAAACAAAAAACAACACCGGAAAGCAAAUGUAUCACGUUAUGGCAUCGAUAAACAUUUCUGUUCAAAUGUGUGGAUCUACAGCAUUUUCUCUAGGUAACACACACAGUUGUUAUCACAUUAGUAUGGAAUAAAUGCUGAAAAAUUAAGAAAUACUAAUGGUUACUAGGCCAAAGUCAAUUCCAAAAAACUCAAUUCUUAUAAACUUUUAUUAUAGUGAUUUUUACUGUAUUACAACACUUUUUUUCUCUUUUUCCUUUGCUUUGUGAUUCAUAUUUUUAGCAGAGGCAUAGCACUGGAGAUAAAGAAGGGGAAAUAUGCUUCAGGUGCCAGUUGCGUUUUUUAACUUCCAUUUUGCACUUUUGCUAUUUUUAGACUUGUUGCUCAUCAGAUUCAUUAACACACCCUACUUUUGCUAUGUUUUUUUCCUUCAUUUCCAGGAAAACUCAACCACAGCAUUAGGAGAAAAGGCAAAAACUUCACAUUGCCUGAUACACCACUUAUUCUUGCUCUGCCACUGAUUUGUAGUAGCUGUGUAUUACUGCAGUAGCGCUGUUGUCUCUAUUAAUGCUUAGAGAUUCCACACCAUGAAUUUUUUUAUGGUCAUCCUAAGAUACAAUGAAUUCUUCACAUUUUGUGAAAAUUAUAGGCAUCUGACAGCUGGUGUAUUUAUCUACCAUCUUCAUCAAACUCGAAUAUUUUAUAAAAUACUUGAGAAAAGAUCUCUACCAAAGAUACCCUCAUGAAACACUCUCUUAUCAAAAAGAAAAGGGUAAAAUUAUGGAUUAGUUCAAUUGUACCUUGAACUAGAAACACUGAUUAUGAUUAUAUUUCAGAAAACAGUUAUAAUUAUUUCAUUAAAAAUGAUUCCCAUUUAGAAUGAUGACUGGAGACUUAUUUACAAGAAAAGAUAGAGAAAUUUUAUGAGCCUAGGAUUGUGCCAGGAUUGCCUGUGAGGGCAGUUUUUUCAAUUGCAUAUGCAUGUUGAGAUGGGACUAUUUAUGAUCUUAUUUCCUUAUUCAUUAGAGAAGGAGAUGACCAGUGUUUUCUGGGGGUUUUUUGGUUAAUUUUGCAUAUUCUCUUAUUUCAAAAUUAAUCUAAUUAAUUUUAUUCAUGUGUCACUCAGAUUGCAUUUGGGUUUAAACAGAGGACUUAAUCAUAGCAUGGACAGAAAAGGCUCACCAUCUAUCUAAAUGACUCUGAUUGCACCAUCAUCCUCAUUGUUCUUGUGGAGUCUCGCUCUGUCGCCCAGGCUGGGGUGGAGUGACGCGAUCUCGGCUCACCGCAAGCUCCGCCUCCCGGGUUCACGCCAUUCUCCUGUCUCAGCCUCCCCAGUAGCUGGGACUACAGGCGUCCACCACCACGCCCGGCUAAUUUUUUGUACUUUUAGUAGAGACGGGUUUCACCGUGUCAGCCAGGAUGGUCUCGAUCUCCUGACCUCGUGAUCUGCCCGCCUCAGCCUCCCUAUAUGUUUUAAAAUAUAAAUUUAUUCUUAUAAAAAUAAAUUUAAACUAGAUUGAGGUAGUAAUUACAACAGUCCAGCACAUUAUGGAUAAUUAAUAUUUAUAUUUAUUUGGCUGGUUUUUCUUUUAUAGUAAACUUUAUGCCUUAAUGAACAUUUAUCAGUAUGACUCACUUCAUUCAGUCAUUGAAUAACUAUUUAUUGAGGCUGUAUACUGUGCUAGGUAGGCAUGGAACUACAUGCAUGAUCAAAAUGAGACAGAUUCCUAACAUCACUGAGAUUAUACACAGCAGGGGAAAGAAAAUAUUCAAACUUCAAAUAGUUUCUUCAUCCAAAAAAUUUAUUAUUAGUACCUCCUUGUCAACAUAUGGUAUAUGUUGUGAGUGCAGAAACU